rnacentral:tRNA from 1 species
GAAAUGUGUGGAUCAAGAAGAGGCCGCUAACUUCUAUCUUUAGCGGUUUAACUCCGUUUACAUUUCU